rnacentral:rRNA from 1 species
CCUACGGGUGGCUGCAGUGAGGAAUAUUGGUCAAUGGGCGGAAGCCUGAACCAGCCAAGCAGCGUGCAGGAUGACGGCCCUACGGGUUGAAAGCUGCUUCUAUACGGGAGUAACGCGCCUUACGUGUACGGCUUUGCAUGUACCAUAUGAAUAAGGAUCCGCUAACUCCGUGCCAGCGGCCGCGGUAAUACGGAGGAUCCGAGCGUUAUCCGGAUUUAUUGGGUUUAAAGGGAGCGUAGGUGGAUUGUUAAGUCAGUUGUGAAAGUUUGCGGCUCAACCGUAAAAUUGCAGUUGAAACUGGAAGGCUGGAGUACAGGAGAGGUGGGCGGAAUUCGUGGUGUAGCGGUGAAAUGCGUAGAUAUCACGAAGAACUCCGAUUGCGAAGGCAGCUCACUGGACUGCAACUGACACUGAGGCUCGAAAGUGUGGGUAUCAAACAGGAUUAGAUACCCUUGUAGUC